ACCUGGGAAAGCUCAGUCAGUAAAGCAUGAGACACUUAAUCUCAGGAUUGUGGGUUCAAGCCCCACGUUGGGCA